AGUUUUGCUUCUGUUAAAUGCUGUGGAAAUGUUUUCUACAUCUUCCGAUCGCGAAUUUAACAACCCGCGAAAAUGUCGGGACCCCCGCGAUUCGCGAAAAAUUCUGUACGCGAAAAUAACAGCUUCUACAGUAAUUUACUUUAAAUAAUGUAGGCUUCAUAUUUUACAAGAGCGACAUUCUACACUGCCAAUGUUUGGAAUUCCUGAAACAGCUGUGAGGUCUUCAAACGUCAAAGGUCUUCAAACGUCACCAAAAGAAGGUGGGAAAACCAACUACUACCUUGUCCAAUAAAAACAAAUAUCAUCUUCAUGGCGGGAAGUGGAAACUUUCUUAACCUAUCUCAGGUCCGUAGGCCAGCAAGAAGCAUGGCUCAAGAUAUGCCUGUGAUACUUGCUUUGAAAGAUGGAACGAUCUUGAAGACCACAAAAAACACGUUGAUAAAAGAGGAAAAUACUUGCUACCCGGAGAUGUUCCGUGGGGAUCAGGUACAUUACUUCAUUAAUCCGGAUGGCAGCGUGGUCCACUGUGUAGAUGGAAAGAUGGAAAGGUUUUUUAUUCCUGAUCUACCCAACCCUGAUGGGCUAGAUGUUCUCGAAGUAUACGCCGAGUAUUUUGGGCUCAAAAUACCACAUGGAAUCAUUGAAGGGAAGAAAACAAGCAAAUGGAAUGAUUCAAUCGUUGAACAUCUGCUUGCUAAAGCAUCGCAUUUUUGAAUUAAAAGUGAUACAUGUACACACUAGCGUACCUACGGUGGGCAGUCUGCCCCCCCCCCCUGACGAGUCACAACCCAUGCAAAAGACAUAUUCCUGCCCCCCCCCCCCUGACGAGCUUGAAAACCUUUUUUGUCCCCCCCCCCCCCCCUGACGAGCCUGAAAACCAUUUUUUUUUUUUUUUUUUUUUUGCUUGUCAAAUUUUUGGGCGGACGGUUUUGCCCCCCAUGUGGAAAAUCGUAGGUACGCUACUGCAUGUACAUGAAUAUAACCCAGGGCAAACAAUAGUACGAGUAUUGUAAACAGUGUUCUGGUAAAAUAUUUAAUUGGAAGUAAAGGUAUCAUAUUCAUACAGAAACUAUAUUAUUGGCAGUUUGUUUUCAUUUCGAUUACUUUCUCAAGGUUUUUCGCCUAGCAUAUUUAUAAAUAUUUGGUGGAUACCAAUGUAGAACUUAUUGUUGUAGGAAAUUCAAAGGUGUGGAGUAUAGUUGUGAGAAACAAUCCUGUAAUAUGAUAAUUUUGUUCAUUUUAAAGUUGUUAAACAGUAUAAUAUUCCAUUACGUAUUUGAACAAAAAUAUACGUGUUAUAUCAAUAAAUAAAGAAAAGGGGAAUUUUCACUAUCAAAAUGAUGUGAAAUACAUUAAAGGGCUAUUGAGCAUGAAAGCAGGUCUGGAGAUACCUAGGCAUAAUUAUGUUUGUCUAAGUCAUGUAAGCAAAAUGCUGAUGAUUAUUCCUAUUAUGUCUAUAACAAAGAUCUGCGAUAGAUUCAAUCAAACCCGAUCAUACAAUUGUGAUUGAUAUAAAAUUCCUCUCUUAACUGUAAACAAAAACUUAGUUCAAUUACAAUUAUAACUUGACACAAUGCAUUGUUAACUCUUUCUGAAACAUCGCCUUUUGUCACAUUAAGAUCGUUAAUUUAGAAUUUCAGGAGCACUUUUAAUUGACAGCUUUUAGGUACAGUGCAAAAUGGCAGAGGUAAAAAAAAAAGGCAGAGGUGAAAAAUGGCAGUUAAAAUUGCAAAGGUAAAAAUGGCAGAUAUGUAAUAAUGACAGUGAUAAAAAUGGGAUGCUUUAAAUCGGCUAGGAAAAGAAUGAGCCUUUCCCAUCGAUACCAGUCAUAUUAACAAGUUUUCGGCAAGUUUUUGAUUUUUACAACUGUCAUGAAGUGGGCUCUUGUAAACUGCAAAAACUCUGGUGUUGAUUUAACACCAGCCCGGAAUAUAUAUAUGUCCACACCAGGGAAGUGUUAAACAACACCAGUUUCGUUUUGGUCUAACAUCUGAUAGGUGUUUAUGCAACACCAAUUAGGUUGAAAACAGCAUCGAUUUGAUUCCAAACUGGUGUUGUUCCAAUACUUCUCUGGUGUGGACAUAAAUAGAUUCCGGGCUGGUGUUCAAUCAACACCGGAGUUUUUGCAGUGUAACAUCAUGCAAGAUGCUGUUAGCAAAAAAGAAGCAUUUGUAACAUAAUUAUGCUUUAUUAUUUAUUAGUGUAAAAAGUAAAUAAUGUCAACAAAACCUGGAGUUUUUCAUUUGUAGGUAGAUUAAUUUUGUUGUUCUUUUGUAAUUUCUAUUUCUUUCAUGAUUAAUUUAUAUUCAUUUCGUCCAUUUUGAUCUAUGUAUUCAAAAGUAUUGAUAAAUAUCUUGGCUAGGGUUGUACCUGAGCAAUUACAAAUAUUUAACUUUGAAAACGAUAUUAUACUGAUCGCUUUUAAAAUGAUAAGGAAACAAAAAUGUAAAUUCAGUAUAUAACCCUGCUAUAAUAAAGUGGGUUUAACAUUAUAAUUCAACUUUGAAAACAGAUCAUCAUGAUAAUGACGGUGUUUGUUUUCAGUUUUAUAUAGCUUGAAUAUCAAUAAAACUUUGAAAAUAGAUAUAAUAAACUCUUUGUAGAAUCUGAUGAAUAUGCACAAAGGUUUUCGGCUUAGUAAUGAAUCUAUCAAUAUCAUAAACAUCAUGAAGAGUCUUGCAAAACAUGCAAAAGGGGUUAGGUCCAUUUUUCAUCAAAUUUGAUUUUUAUGUCUCAAUGUAUAUAUGUUUUUAGUAACUCUAUAAGAUGAUACCAAAGAAAAGUUGAAAUUCCUAUUAAAAGGUGAACUAAAAUGGCACAGAAAAAUCACUUUUUUUUCAAAAGGGGUUAGGUCCAUUUCAGUUUAUUGGAAAAAGGGGUUAGGUCCACAUAUAAUUUUUUUGGAAAUUAAAGAAUAUCUUCAUAAGAAAUAUGAAGACAGGUAGAUUUCUUUUAUACCCAAUUUUAUGUUCUCAUGGUAGGGUAUCAUGAAAAUUCAGUUUCGCAUAAGAAUAUUACAAUAUGGGGGAAUCAGUUAAAAAAUGAUUUUUUUUUUUUGGAGUGGACCUAACCCUUUUGCAACUAAACUCUUCUGAAGAACUCAUUUGUCAAAAGGGGUUAGGUUCAUUUUUCAUAAAUUUAUUGUUUUCUGUCUCUAAAUAUUUAGUCACUCUGAUGAUAGCAAAGCAAAUAGCAAAUAUAUAUAUAUAAUGCGUUACGUGUUUCUUUAUUACAUUUCAAUUGUUAUAACUGUAUUUAUGAUGGAUUUUGUCUACUGAAACUGAAGAAAGUGCCCUUUUUUCCCUGUCCCCCCCCCCCUCCCACUUUCAACUUCGCUCCGCCGCCCCUGGCGUGAGCGAAUGAAUUAAGAAUGUUUGUCACCCGUGAAUAAGCUCCAGAUAACGGGGAUUGUUUUUUUUGGGGGGGUGACUAUUUAUCAACUUAUUUUGUUAAUAAUGAUGAAAAUGACAAUAAUGCUAAUGAUAAUAAUAAAUGAUGAUAAAGAAUAUACAUGUAAAUACAGAUGGUUAAAAAUGAUAAUAAUAAUGAAUAAUGACGGUAAAAAAUAAUAACAGCAAUAACAUCUCUUUUCAUGUCCAUGUGGAAUUUUACAAUGGACUGCAUUCCACAGGUAUGUACAUGUAAUAUACUACCUAUACAUAGUAUGCAAAGGAAUAUCAUUAUAAUGUAUAUAAAGGUGGCGCGUCGUAGCCCAGUGAAAAUUUUUCCAAACCGAUCGCUCGCGCAAAAAUAUAAUGUGUCAAUCAGAAAUCACUUCAAAAAGGCUUUGCUCAACUAAAUUGCUACAAAACACACAACUGCUUCACGCAGAUGAUAAUUUCAUGGUGAAAAAAAAUCCGUUUGCACCAAAAACAAAUUUUACAUUGUAAGUGCGCCCUUUUUUGGGGGGCUUUGUCCCCAAACGAAAAUACGUUCCGCCCCCCCCCCCCUAUUUAUCAUGGAAUUUAACAUUCUUUUCUGUUUUAAAGAUACUUUUAAUUUUGUCAUUAGCAUUAUCAGAGAGAAUUAAUUAUAAUUUACACCUGUGUUAUUUGUAUAUUCUUAUAUAGGCCUGCUAUUCAUGGCUCCUUUGUGUUUCUCGUUAUCGGAUAAGUAUAUAAGUCAGAUAAUGAAGGAUGAUUUUAUGUUUUAGAGUACUUAUACUGUUAUAUAGGCUUAGUUUUUUGGUCUAAGUAUAGAUGUUGGUGUGUUGUUAUAAAUAUAGUUUAUUUAACCUUCAUUUGCCACUUGUCAUAUUAUCGGAGAAGGUUAAACAGAAUGAUGUUUGACAAGUUGAAGAUAGUUCACUUGUUUAAAGCUUCUGAGUUUUCUGGUUUAUAGUUAAUAUGUGUUAGUUUUGAUGAAACUUUCUCAGACAGUUUUAUACCGACAGAAAGAAUAAAGAAGAAAAGUAGUCACGCCAUUGUGUAAUUAUGUAUCGUAUAUUCUUAUUCGUCAUGUUCAGCCUGGGUGUCAAUAUUACAGUAUAAGAAGGCAUGUUCUUUUGAGUAUCCAUCUGAUUUGUAAAAUAUUUCCCUAUUACGCAGCAGCUAUAGCUAUAGGACACACUUUCUAAAUAUUUUAUUUGUUUAGAUGUGUUCUCUAAGUAUUAUGAAUACAAUUUAUAAACAAAUUAUAAAUGUUUAUUGAGUCCAUCAGGAUUUCACAUACCAUCAUGUAUAAUCAAAACUAGGGUUUCAAAAUUCCCAGGAAUUUUCACAGUUAAAAAUUUCCAUGCACUGAGGAAACGGGAAUAUUGUGGGAAUUUAAUUUGGAAAUUUUGAGCAAUUUUCAAGAAAGGAAUUUAAACAGUCACAAUUUCUUGAUAAAUAUAGGACUAAGAAAUUUCACAGGCCGAUAUAUUGCUUAUAUUGUGCUUUAUCGGCAAGUUCCAAAUUAUGCUGAAACAGUCAGACAUAUAGCAGAGUUACUUUGAGUAACAUUAUGUUCAGUGGCUGCAUAGAUUGUAAUAGGGCAGUUCACUGCACAUGCAAACCCUUCCCUUGAGUAAAGCGGUCUGAAUAUGCAGCCUAAGUCAUGCCAGCGCCAGGGUACAUAACAAGGCAUUCUGGGUAAAUUGAGAGACAUUUCUGCAUUUUUACAGUAAAAGAGAACCCAGUGUAUUUUGGAACCAGAUAUGAAUAACAUAUCUUGCGUUUGGUGAGCUGAAAGGGGGCUAAUAUGUAGGGUGUAGAAUUUGUGGCGCACAUGGGGUGGGGGUGAUGGUUUUGAUAAUCCUUUAUGCGUGGAUAUCUUAUCAAACAUAAAAGAUGUCAAUGGAUACACAG